GACGAACGCUGGCGGCGUGCUUAACACAUGCAAGUCGAACGAAGAGCGAUGGAAGCUUGCUUCUAUCAAUCUUAGUGGCGAACGGGUGAGUAACGCGUAAUCAACCUGCCCUUCAGAGGGGGACAACAGUUGGAAACGACUGCUAAUACCGCAUACGAUCUAACCUCGGCAUCGAGGAUAGAUGAAAGGUGGCCUCUACAUGUAAGCUAUCACUGAAGGAGGGGAUUGCGUCUGAUUAGCUAGUUGGAGGGGUAACGGCCCACCAAGGCGAUGAUCAGUAGCCGGUCUGAGAGGAUGAACGGCCACAUUGGGACUGAGACACGGCCCAGACUCCUACGGGAGGCAGCAGUGGGGAAUCUUCCGCAAUGGAUGAAAGUCUGACGGAGCAACGCCGCGUGAGUGAUGACGGCCUUCGGGUUGUAAAGCUCUGUUAAUCGGGACGAAAGGCCUUCUUGCGAAUAGUGAGAAGGAUUGACGGUACCGGAAUAGAAAGCCACGGCUAACUACGUG
rnacentral:rRNA from 1 species